GACGAACGCUGGCGGCGUGCUUAACACAUGCAAGUCGAGCGGAAAGGCCCUUUCGGGGGUACUCGAGCGGCGAACGGGUGAGUAACACGUGAGUAAUCUGCCCUUCACUCUGGGAUAGCCACCGGAAACGGUGAUUAAUACCGGAUACGACCAAUCUCUGCAUGGGGUGUUGGUGGAAACUUUUUGGGUGGGGGAUGUGCUCGCGGCCUAUCAGCUUGUUGGUGGGGUAAUGGCCUACCAAGGCUUCGACGGGUAGCCGGCCUGAGAGGGUGACCGGCCACACUGGGACUGAGACACGGCCCAGACUCCUACGGGAGGCAGCAGUGGAGAAUAUUGGACAAUGGGCGGAAGCCUGAUCCAGCAACGCCGCGUGAGGGAUGACGGCCUUCGGGUUGUAAACCUCUUUCAGCACCGACGAAGCGAUCCUUUGGGGGGAGUGACGGUAGGUGCAGAAGAAGGACCGGCCAACUACGUGCCAGCCGCCGCCGUAAAAC
rnacentral:rRNA from 1 species